rnacentral:misc_RNA from 1 species
GAGAGUCUGCAAAUUUUGUGCAGAGUCGGUAGACCACUUCGAGUCUGCCGUGUCGAGAUACCUGGCGAGGAUAGUGGUAUGGUGUUGUCUAAGGGGCAAUUGCCCGAAGAUGGUAUCGAGUACUAUGGAGAGGGUACCGAGGCGGGCCAAUGCGGGGUUCACAUCGCCAAGAUCAAGGAGAGCCACGACGGAAUAUUCAAGUGCACUCUGACAACCACCGAUAGUCGAGCGGAGGCCCAGGCAUCCGUGAAGAUCAUUGUGGCCAAACCGCCGAAUAAUCCGGAGCUUCACUCUAGCCAUGGCGCGCACGGAAGGAACAUAUACAGGAAGGGAGAAAAAUUGGAAGUGAGUUGCAGCGCACCAGCCGGACGACCAGCGGCGAACGUUUCUUUGUUCCUUGACGACGAGCCCAUUGGCAACGAGGAGAGACCUACGAUUUACGACUCGAACGUGGACGACAAUUCGUUGGCUGUACAGAACGCAUCGCGCACCUUGGAUUGGACGGACAAUGGAAAAAUUCUCAAAUGCAUCGCCAGUCACAUCGCCCUCGACCAGCCUAAAGAAACUACCAUGCAACUGCUAGUGUACUAUCCUCCUCAACCGCAGCCAACCAUCGAGCGUUUUGGAUACGUAAUUGGACAUCAAGGGAUCGUAAACGUGACCGUUUACGCGAAUCCUAGGCCGCGUUUCUUAUGGCGAGUGAACGAUGAAAAGAUCACCGAGGGUAGUCCAGACGAGAGCAACCGUCUCGAGACCUCGACCGCUGUGGAUCUGGGAAGAGGAGCGUGGAGUGUGAUCCUGUCGAUCAACAACGUGCAGAAAUCCGACACGGAGAAGGAAUACAUUCUGGAAGCCCGUAACGACGAAGGGGCUUACGAAUAUCGUAUCGUUUUGUCGACAUCCACAGAACCCGCAGGCGUCGAUUUAGAUGCUGGUUCCAUCAUCGGCAUUGUGGUCGGGGCCCUGGUGCUACUUCUCAUCGUUUUCAUACUAAUCUUUGCUCGCGCGACCGGACGCUGGUGCUUCGCAGGACAGCAUGCAAGUCGGGCCAAGUAAAGAAUAAGGAGAAACAGCAACAAUUACCUUACGAUUCCGUACUCUAGGCAUGACACUGUCCAGGGCGAGGCGUCGGGGCGACGAGGAAGCUGCGAGCGGUGUCGGCGCCGGAAGCGAGGCGCACAUCACCCCCGGGGACGAGG